GAGUUUGAUCUUGGCUCAGAUUGAACGCUGGCGGCAUGCUUUACACAUGCAAGUCGAACGGAUCUAGGGGCUUGCUCCUAGGUUAGUGGCGAACGGGUGAGUAAUGCAUCGGAACGUACCGUGUAGUGGGGGAUAACCCGGCGAAAGUCGGAUUAAUACCGCAUACGAUCUACGGAUGAAAGCGGGGGACCUUAGGGCCUCGCGCUAUACGAGCGGCCGAUGUCGGAUUAGCUAGUUGGUGAGGUAAAGGCUCACCAAGGCGACGAUCCGUAGCGGGUCUGAGAGGAUGAUCCGCCACACUGGGACUGAGACACGGCCCAGACUCCUACGGGAGGCAGCAGUGGGGAAUUUUGGACAAUGGACGCAAGUCUGAUCCAGCCAUGCCGCGUGAGUGAAGAAGGCCUUCGGUUGUAAGUAC
rnacentral:rRNA from 1 species